AUUUAAACAUAUUAAAUUUUGCCCCUUAGUCUAUUUCAAUAUUUUUUAUUAUUUUAUUAAUUAUUCUAUGCACAACUAACUAAUUAUAUCUAAAUUUUCGACACUUUUUUCUUUUCACACAUAAAUUUUUUCUAGAUCCAAUUUUCUAAUUUCCAAUUAUUAUAACAAAUGACUUUUAGUAGUCAUUACAAAUCUACUCAU
rnacentral:lncRNA from 1 species